ensembl:miRNA mir153b microRNA 153-1
AGUAUUGCACAGCUGUCUGUGUCAUUUUUGUGGUUUGCAGCUAGUAGUCUGGUUCCAGUUGCAUAGUCACAAAAAUGAGCACAGACAGGUGUG